rnacentral:rRNA from 1 species
AUGCGUCAAGUACAAGAGCUUCUCGACAAAGGUUAUAUACGCGAAUCCCUUAGUCCUUGUGCUGUUCCUAUUAUUCUAGUGCCGAAAAAGGAUGGUACAUCACGUAUGUGUGUUGAUUGUAGAGGCAUUAAUAAUAUUACUAUUCGUUAUCGUCAUCCUAUUCCUAGGCUAGAUGAUAUGCUUGAUGAAUUGAGUGGCUCUACAAUAUUCUCCAAAGUUGAUUUGCGUAGUGGAUACCAUCAAAUUCGUAUGAAAUUGGGAGAUGAAUGGAAAACAGCAUUCAAAACUAAGUUUGGAUUAUAUGAGUGGUUAGUCAUGCCUUUUGGGUUAACUAAUGCACCUAGUACUUUCAUGAGAUUAAUGAACGAAGUUUUACGUGCUUUCAUUGGACGAUUUGUGGUAGUUUACUUUGAUGACAUAUUGAUUUAUAGCAGAUCUUUGGAAGAACAUUUGGAACAUUUACGUGCUGUUUUUAUUGCUCUACGUGAUGCACGUUUGUUUGGUAACCUUGGGAAGUGCACCUUUUGCACCGACCGAGUAUCUUUUCUUGGCUAUGUUGUUACUCCACAGGGAAUUGAAGUUGAUAAAGCCAAGAUUGAAGCUAUUGAGAGUUGGCCGCAACCCAAAACGGUCACACAAGUGAGGAGUUUUCUUGGCCUCGCUGGAUUCUAUAGGCGUUUUGUGAGAGAUUUCAGCACCAUUGCUGCACCUCUCAAUGAGCUUACAAAGAAAGAUGUGCCUUUUCUUUGGGGUACCGCACAGGAAGAAGCCUUCUCGGUAUUGAAAGAUAAGUUGACACAUGCUCCUUUACUCCAACUUCCUGAUUUUAAUAAGACUUUUGAGCUUGAAUGUGAUGCUAGUGGAAUUGGAUUAGGCGUUGUGUUAUUACAAGAUGGCAAACCUGUUGCAUACUUUUCUGAAAAAUUGAGUGGGCCUAGUCUGAAUUAUUCUACUUAUGAUAAAGAAUUAUAUGCUCUUGUUCGGACUUUAGAAACAUGGCAACAUUAUUUAUGGCCCAAAGAAUUUGUUAUACAUUCUGAUCAUGAAUCUUUGAAACAUAUUAAAAGUCAAGCUAAACUGAAUCGUAGACAUGCUAAAUGGGUUGAAUUCAUUGAGACUUUUCCUUAUGUCAUUAAACACAAGAAGGGAAAAGAAAAUGUUAUUGCUGAUGCAUUGUCUCGCCGCUAUUACUAUGCUUUCACAACUUGA